AAAUACCAGUGAUAUUUCACUCUAAUAUUUCGAUAAUUCACUGAAAAACUUAUAAUAAAUUGAUUAUAAUACUCUAUAAUAUGUGGCAAAAACAUUUUUUGAUACUAUAAGUCUAUAAGACUGAGCAAAACCCGUUUCCACAUGUUAUACAUGAAACUUCGUUGCAAGCUUAAGACCAUCCCUCCGUUGUAAUUUUAUCAAAGAGAUCUCAAUGACCCAGUUACAUUGGAGCUGCAAUUACCCGCGACUAUGUCCAGUCGUGCGACAUAGAGCGGUCUUGGUCUGGUCGUCUUUUUCUAUGAUCACACAGUGUCCUGGCUUGCCUGCGACAUGGAACAUAUUGAUAGCACGACUGAUUGCAAGACAUCGAGGGAUUUUACGAUCACACAAGACCACCUGCAUUGUCAGGAUUUGACUUACGAUCAUAAAAGUUCAUAUAACAAAAUUCUGAUGUCUGCUUAUAAAGAAAAGGAAAUAAAACUCAAAGUUAUUUGAUCGUUUCAUACAUUUAUUAGUAUGAAGAGUCAGUACAACAAGUUUGAUAUUAAUGCGUGUUAAGAAAUGAGUAAUAUUUGUCCGGUGUUGCUGAUACACUAUAAUCUUGAUCAAACAAUUUCAAGUAAACAUUUUGUGUCACUAUUGUUAUCAACUACUUCAAUACAGGAUGCAAAGUAUCUAUAAAUGUCAGUCCAUUUUAAAAUACAGGAAGUUAUUCAUGUACCUUAUAUUAAGUGCGCAGACGACAAUCCUUGAAAUAUAACCAACACAUUUACAAAGCAUAUAUGUUUGAACCU
rnacentral:lncRNA from 1 species